UUUGCAAAAGCCUUAAACGGACCUCCCUCGACAUCUACAGCUUCGGGUACCUUCCAACGGAGCUUUAGCUCUGUUUUUCCCUCAUCUCAAUAGCAAGCACAAUAGAGAGAGGGUAAGCUUCAGAUGCAAAAACCACAAAGAAGACGAAUUGCUAAGUGUACUGUAAGGAUUGCCGAUACGCAAGCCCGAUUUCGUGGAAGACCAAGAAGUAGACCAUGGUAUAUAGAUCUUCUGUUGAAGUGGAGUAUCAGGUGAUGACUGCUACAAUAAGUUAGUUACUAUGGUUACAUACUCUUCUUGCAUCUUUUGGAGUUACUCAUCAAGCAUCUAUGAAGCUAUUUUGCAAUAAUCAAGCUGCUCUUCAUAUUACUUCUAAUUUUGUAUUCCAUGAGUGAGCUAAGGACAUAGAGAUUGGUUGUUAUUUUAUUCGUCCACACAUUUGAUCUCAAGCUAUUGAUGUUGCCCAUGUUUCAAACGUCAGCAACAUGUGAACAUUUUCACUUGGACGAGAUCGUUUUCGUUUUCUUCUUCAGCAAGUUGGAAACUCAAGAUCCUUAUUCUCCAGCUUGAGGGGAAUAUUGCGUGUAGAUAAUUAUAGGAGAUAUUAUAUAUUGAGUGUAUCAUAUUAGUUAGGAUUGAAAUUUCUGUUAGGAUACAUUUUCAUUAUUUUACUUUUUCAUUAAUUUGAGAGUUUUACUCUUAGGAUAGAUUUUCAUAAUUUCUCUUACAUUAAUUUGAGAGUUCUAUACAUAUUUCGAUGUACACCAUUCUUGAUGAAAUUGAGCUAUUCUAGUCAGUUCCUACUUU